rnacentral:rRNA from 1 species
CCCUUAGAUGUCCGGGGCCGCACGCGCGCUACACUGAAGGAAUCAGCGUGGCUUUCUCCCUGACCCGAAAGGGUUGGGAAACCCGUUGAAUCUCCUUCGUGAUAGGGAUUGGGGCUUGAAAUUGUUCCCCAUGAACGAGGAAUUCCCAGUAAGCGCGAGUCAUAAGCUCGCGUUGAUUACGUCCCUGCCCUUGUACACACCGCCCGUCGCUACUACCGAUUGAACGGUUUAGUGAGGGCCUCGGAUUGGUCUCGGCCCGCUCUUUACCGGGCGGCGCCGUUGGUCGAGAAGACGCUCGAACUUGAUCGUUUAGAGGAAGUAAAAGUCGUAACA